CCCAACUGUGUUUCAAAAAAUGUAGAAAGAGACAAAAAGGCGAAUUGACGAGAAACAACGAAUCAAAAUACUGUUAAUGCUAAAAAAUAAAGUAAUAUGCUAUGGGUAAAUUAAAUCUGUGUUGACAAACCCGCAAAUACAUAAUAUGGUGUGGUCCCUCACGUCUCGCCAAUGCUGAAGUAAAUAAAUACAACAAGCGAAACAUAAGUUAAAGUUGUGUACGAAAUCAUUUGAACCCUAAAUAAAUUUGUGUUCUAUACAUGCAAACUUUAGACAGUUUGAAAUCCGAAAAAUCACUUUUGUAAAAAAUGAAUAUAUGAAUAAAUAUAUAUAUUAACAUAUAUUGAUAUAUGUAUAAUCUUAAUACAGUUUACAAACUACUGUCUUCUUAAUUAAGAAAACAUGGUUCUCAUGAAAACUUAUAUUGUUAUUUAAGGUCUUGCUGCUAUAUAUGCAUUAGCAAAAUGCACAUUUCCAAAAAAUGAAGUUAAAAUUAUCAGUUUACAAAAGACAUUGAACUAAAGAUCAAAUUUUUCCACAACCGAAUUAAAAUGUAAGAUUGUGUUUUUUAGAAGAAGCCAAUGCGCUAAUAAUAAUGCCAUGCUUGCAUUGCUUAAAAACAAACGAACUUCUUGCCUUCAUGUAGCAAGGCUAUUAUCACGAAUUUUCAUGUUAAUUUCGCUAUGAAUGCUUGGUCUUUUCUGAGUUAAUCAAUACUAUUUAGCUAAGGUUUCGCUCAUAUAGAAUACGAAAAUUUCGCAUUUAUUAAUGCAAAUUUCCUCGAUGUUUUUAAUAUAUUGUGUUGCUAAUCUGACUAUAUAACACUGCCUCUUCAAGGGACAAAUAGUUUUAACAAAAUUUGUUUACAUUAUUGAGUCAAGCAAUUACGACCCGAUGUUAUAAGCAUUACGCAGAUUUCUUUUACAAAAGGGAGGUCUCUUUCAUUUACCCCAAGCUUAGCAUUACAAAAUCAUGUGCAAAUGAGAAGACUACUUUUAGGGAAAAUAAAAAUCUAAACUUGAUUGGAAAGCGAAAGUUUAAAUCCUAAAUUGUUUGAGGUUGACGUGUUAGUUUUUCACCGUAAUAAGUAAAUAGCAUUGUAUAAUGAAUAAAAGAAAAAUUUUG